GAUAAACAAUUGGAGGGCAAGUCUGGUGCCAGCAGCCGCGGUAAUUCCAGCUCCAAUAGCGUAUAUUAACGUUGUUGCAGUUAAAAAGCUCGUAGUUGAAAUGAAGGGUAGUUGUGUAAUGAAUACAUUCGUGUAUUUUGUUAUUCAACUACCCUCCUUCUAAAUUCGAUAUAUGAGUAUUAAUUUACUUGUAUAUGGUUUUAGACGUUUACUGUGAGAAAAUUAGAGUGUUCAAAGCAGGCAUUUGCUUGAAUAUAUUAGCAUGGAAUAAUCAUGUAUGAUUUUCAUGAUGUAUUUGAUUGGUUUGGUUCAUGAGAAUAAGAUUAAAAGGGACAGUUGGGGGUAUUCAUAUUCAAUAGUCAGAGGUGAAAUUCUCGGAUUUAUGGAAGAUGAACAAGUGCGAAAGCAUUUACCAAGGAUGUUUUCAUUAAUCAAGAACGAAAGU
rnacentral:rRNA from 1 species